GUCUGAGUCAAUGGUAGUUAUUUCAAAGACAGCGUAUUUCUGAAACUUUUCUAAAAGUGGAUGCCUGGGUUAGGAGUGUGUUUCUAUUAGCAACUCCACUGAAAGAAAAGGUAUAAUACAAUAUUACUCUUUGGACAAGCCACAUCACAGAAACAAGAGUCCUCCCUGAGAGAGCUUUGGACAGAAAGUUCACUUUGUGAUACUUUUGAGAGUCCAGCCAGGGAACUUUAAUGUUUAGGAAAAAGGCAUUGUUGGUUGUGUUUCUCAGAACUGGUUUUCUGCUUCAGCUGUUUUUUCAGCAUAAAAAUCCUGCAGAGGUUACAGCAACAGUGCAGAACAACUGUGUCCUUGGAGGAUGAGCUUGGUGUGCACCAGAGGUACCUGUAUGAUGUGUGAAAUCUGCAAAGCUUGGAGCAAUUGUGUGUGAUAUGAGUGUCAACGGAAAAAUACAGAAAGGUAGAUGAUAGAGAGCAGGUUCCAUGAUGUCUGUCAGGCUGCCAGUUCUUGCUCCGCCUUUUUGCCUCUUCAAUCCAUCCUCAUCCCUGGAAAUGUGCUCCUGUCAAAGGGGAGAGGUA